rnacentral:rRNA from 1 species
CCUACGGGAGGCAGCAGUGGGGAAUAUUGCACAAUGGGGGAAACCCUGAUGCAGCGACGCCGCGUGAGUGAUGAAGUAUUUCGGUAUGUAAAGCUCUAUCAGCAGGGAAGAAAAUGACGGUACCUGAUUAAGAAGCCCCGGCUAACUACGUGCCAGCAGCCGAGGUAAUACGUAGGGGGCAAGCGUUAUCCGGAUUUACUGGGUGUAAGGGGAGCGUAGACGGCAGCACAAGUCUGGAGUGAAAUGCCGGGGCUUAACCCCGGAACUGCUUUGGAAACUGGGAAGCUAGAGUGCAGGAGAGGUAAGUGGAACUCCUAGUGUAGCGGUGAAAUGCGUAGAUAUUAGGAGGAACACCAGUGGCGAAGGCGGCUUACUGGACUGUAACUGACGUUGAGGAUCGAAAGCGUGGGGAGCAAACAGGAUUAGAUACCCCAGUAGUC